rnacentral:rRNA from 1 species
GACGAACGCUGGCGGCGUGCCUAAUACAUGCAAGUUGAGCGCUGAAGGUUGGUACUUGUACCGACUGGAUGAGCAGCGAACGGGUGAGUAACGCGUGGGGAAUCUGCCUUUGAGCGGGGGACAACAUUUGGAAACGAAUGCUAAUACCGCAUAAAAACUUUAAACACAAGUUUUAAGUUUGAAAGAUGCAAUUGCAUCACUCAAAGAUGAUCCCGCGUUGUAUUAGCUAGUUGGUGAGGUAAAGGCUCACCAAGGCGAUGAUACAUAGCCGACCUGAGAGGGUGAUCGGCCACAUUGGGACUGAGACACGGCCCAAACUCCUACGGGAGGCAGCAGUAGGGAAUCUUCGGCAAUGGACGAAAGUCUGACCGAGCAACGCCGCGUGAGUGAAGAAGGUUCUCGGAUCGUAAAACUCUGUUGGUAGAGAAGAACGUUGGUGAGAGUGGAAAGCUCAUCAAGUGACGGUAACUACACAGAAAGGGACGGCUAACUACGUG